rnacentral:misc_RNA from 1 species
GAACCGGACAGAACUUUGUCAUCUGUGUAAUAAAUAUAUUAGACUGCGAGAAAGAUACAACCAUGAGACUAGAUGCACUGGUGUGUCGGAUAAUAUUGUGGGAUCUUCCAGGGAUGUGAGGGAAGCUGAAGGAGCACCAGGUGCUCCAAUAAGGCAGCCACAUGAUUAUUCAAGGAGACGACUUCUAUUCACCAUUGCAAUAACAGGCAUUGCUGUUAUUCUAGGAUCACUUCUUUUCCAGAGGAAAACAGAGAAUAAUCAAGUGCAUUAGCGGCAGAGAAGGUACAUAUUAGGGCUUAUGUAAAUCACUGCUCUAAAGCUAUUUAAUUCCAUUUAUUUGGAUCUGUAAUCAACUGAGAGCGUACUGUAGUUACUGUAUUUAACUGAUCGGGAUUGUCACAGUGCAUUGACAGCUUGAGAACUGGUAUCCAUCAUUGAAAAUGAGCUUCAGCAUCUUUUACUCAAAAAAAUGCNNNNNNNNNNNNNAUUCACGUAAUUUCUACUUUUGUCAAUGUACUAUCGUUUCUACUUUCUUUUUCAUUUGGGG